rnacentral:rRNA from 1 species
GAAGGGGGGCUAGCGUUGUUCGGAAUCACUGGGCGUAAAGCGCACGUAGGCGGAUUUGUAAGUUAGGGGUGAAAUCCCGGGGCUCAACCUCGGAACUGCCUUUGAUACUGCAGGUCUAGAGUCCGAGAGAGGUGAGUGGAAUUCCUAGUGUAGAGGUGAAAUUCGUAGAUAUUAGGAAGAACACCAGUGGCGAAGGCGGCUCACUGGCUCGGUACUGACGCUGAGGUGCGAAAGCGUGGGGAGCAAACAGGGAUUAGAUACCCUGGUAGUCCACGCCGUAAACGAUGGAUGCUAGGCGUCGGCAAGCAUGCUUGUCGGUGCCGCAGCUAACGCAUUAAGCAUCCCCGCCUGGGAGUACGGCCGCAAGGUUA